UAACAGUCCACUUAGCAACUGCAUUAAGUGAGGGUAUUUAGCCCCUUCAUCUCCUGGAUGUGGCUCCUCAGGCAAAGCCUGCGCCUUCUCCAUCGGCAGAGCCCGGCACCCUCAAGGUGCCAAGGCUGGAAGGGGGCACCCCCAUGGCACAUCCCUGGAUCUCCACCCUCUCUGACCCAUGAGGGAACACCACCCGUUCCUAAAGCCUUGUAUCCCUGCAUUUCCCUUGCCUCCUUUGCCUUGACACGGGCCAAAGGCUGGGGAAGUUGCGAGCAGCAAAAUUCCAGACGGACAGAAGAUGGCAGCAGCAGCCCAGCAACAGCUCUCCUUCACUGGAGAGGGAUUUCCUCUCUCCGGGAAUACCGGGGUGGUUUUGCAGAGGAGAGGAGACAUUUUCACCCUUUUGGAUUGUGACCAAGACACAGGAGACACGUGGACUGGAAAACCAAAGGAGGUGGCUCAGCAUGAAGAGCUUGGUGUGAGAAGGACCAUGGACUGAGUAUCUCAUCCAUGUCACAGUGAUGCCUGCUCCUGGACCAGGACCCACCAUGGGUAAGCUGUGGGAUAAGCUCUGCUCCCAGGAGAUUCACAGCAGGAUACAAGGACAGGAGCGACCAUCCAUCAAGGCACAUUGUCACCAGCGUGGCAGACAGCAAGCCCCAGGUGUGGAGGGGACAAGCUCUCACAAGCUCACAUUUUUGGGCCUGGUUCCUGUUUCACGUGGCAGCAGGGCUGGCCUCGACCCGGUGCCUGCCCCAGCAGAGCAGGACACGGUAGCUUGAAAGGGACUGUCGGGAGCAGAACAGCUGAGAGGCACAGCGAUCCCGCGCGGGUAUAAAUAGAGACAGAGCUGUUAUCCUGAUGAAAUGAGACCAGAUGUUUCUCUCAAAUCCCUCCUCUCCGCUAGUGAAAAUUAUAGUUUAGUUAAAACAGGGCAAAGCAGGCAGCAAAAUAUUUUCAAUCAGCUAAUGUUGGGAAGUCAAAGGGGCAGAAUGCCUCACUGGGGUAGGGAUACCAUGCCCUGUGAUGCUGCAGGGAUGGAUUGGGCAUGGUCACAGUGGGAACCAGGGGAGUCCCUCACUGCCUUUGUUCUAUUUUUCUGCUUCCUAUCCCAGUAUUAAUGGGCUGAGUUUUAAAGCCUGUGCUGUGGCCGCUUUUGUGAGGUAGAAAGUCAGUGUCAGCACAUGUAUCCUGGAGGCAGUUGGCACGAGAUGAAGGAGGGACGGCAGCAGCAGUUAAAACUGGGCCUUGGCUCUUUAAUAUUUAACUUUCCCCAGUGCUGGGGUUUUUUUUUAAUCAGUUUGUGCAUUAUCUGCCAUCCCCGUUCAAAGAGGGUUUUAGCAGAGAGAUUUCAGUGCUUAAUCCCAGGGGCAGGGAAAGCGGAAGAGUCUCUCUGAAGGUUCCAGGGCUCAAUCUGGCCUCAAUUACAGCAGCCUAAACCAGCAAAGAGUGGCCACCACGGACCCCACUGUGACUGCGUCGGGCUGCAGGUAACAAAAUGAGGGGUCAGUCCUGUGUCUCUGCAGGAGACACCUCUGGUCCCUAAGGCUCCAUGCCUAAGGGAGUUCCCAGGAGGAUCUAAACAGUGGCAGACUGUCUCAGAAUAAAUGUCCACUUGGGCAACAAGCAGAGCCUGGCUGUGGCCAGCUGCAGAUGCUUGGGAAGGGAUAUGGGAAGAGGGAGAGUAUAAAGUGAUCCUUCCUCCGGCAUUUCCUCCUGGCUCCUGGUAAUCAGCAGUUGAGGGACUUCCUAAGCCGGAGGUUGCAUGAAUUUGUGUAAUCCCUUUGGUUUUUUUUCCCUCAUUCAUUUAUACUUUUGGCCUCCAUGACAUCCUGUGGCAAUAAGUUCCACAGUGUAAUUAUGUGUUGUGUGAAAAAGUACUUCCUUUUGUCUGCUUGAGACCUGGCUCCUGAACAUUCCUCUCCAUGUUAUUGUGUUGUGAAGAAAAGGGAAAAAGAAUUCCAGGUCCAUACCAGACCUCUCUUGACCUCUCCAGACUUCUCUGUCUUUAUUUGCCCCAAGGUUUUGUUCUUCCAAACUGGAGCCUCCUUGUUUUUCUAGU